rnacentral:rRNA from 1 species
GGAUACGCUCUGGAAACGGAGAACAAAUCCCGAUGUACAGGAAGGAGGCAUCUUCUUUCUGUGAAACAUCCUUUAGGGGAUGGGGCGCGGAUGGACCUGCGGUGCAUUAGUUGGUUGGCGGGGUAAAGGCCCACCAAGACGAUGAUGCAUAGCCGGCCUGAGAGGGCGGACGGCCACAUUGGGACUGAGACACGGCCCAGACUCCUGCGGGAGGCAGCAGUAGGGAAUUUUCGUCAAUGGGCGCAAGCCUGAACGAGCGAUGCCGCGUGAGUGAAGAAGGCCUUCGGGUCGUAAAGCUCUGUUGCGGGGGAAAAAAGGCAGCAUCAGGAAAUGGGUGCUGACUGAUGGUGCCCCGCCAGAAAGUCACGGCUAACUACGUGCCAGCAGCCGCGGUAAUACGUAGGUGGCGAGCGUUAUCCGGAAUGAUUGGGCGUAAAGGGUGCGCAGGCGGUCCUGCAAGUCUGGAGUGAAACGCAUGAGCUCAACUCAUGCAUGGCUUUGGAAACUGGAGGACUGGAGAGCAGGAGAGGGCGGUGGAACUCCAUGUGUAGCGGUAAAAUGCGUAGAUAUAUGGAAGAACACCAGUGGCGAAGGCGGCCGCCUGGCCUGUUGCUGACGCUGAGGCACGAAAGCGUGGGGAGCAAAUAGGAUUAGAUACCCUAGUAGUCCACGCCGUAAACG